rnacentral:lncRNA from 1 species
AGAAUCCAUACAUCGAAUUCCUCGAUAGCUUCUUCAGUAACCUUUCCACUUCAUCCUUCCGGGUUCCUGCGAACUUAUUGAGGCGAGACGCUGAAAAAAUCUCGAUGGCUCCGAUUCGGCGGAGGUUCCGCCAGUGGUCUCCGUAAGGUGACGCUACCAUUGUAGUGUGGUUGUAGCCGACGUGUUUGCCGACUAGCAACCGAGGACGGUUGGCUAAAACGAUAUCGUUCUUAGUGAAGCACUCCUCCACUGCCGGCAACGACGAGACGACCACAACGAGGCGAGACCCAAACCAGAGAGAGAUUACUGGUCCAUAUUUUGCAGAGAGUUUGUGUAAAGUUCGGUGGAGGGGGAUUUUGAUAUAAUGGAGGUGGCCAAUGAUGGGGAGAGACGGGGGACUGGGGGGUAAGUUUCUACGUCGGCUGCGGAGGUUGAAAGCGAAGAGAAGAGAGAUAAGAGAGAGAAAUAGGUAAAGCAGAGAAGAAAUUUCCAUGGCGUUUUUGUUAGAAGAGUAUAUUUAAAUUUGGAGUAGAGA